AGCAUAUCAAUAAGCGGAGGAAAAGAAAAUAACAAUGAUUUCCCUAGUAACGGCGAGUGAAGAGGAAAAAGCUCAAAGUUGGAACCUAUUUGGCUUAGCUAAAUCGGAUUGUAAACUGUAGAAGUGUUUUCCUGACACGCCAGAUAAAUAAGUCCUUUGGAACAGGGCAUCAUAGAGGGUGAGAAUCCCGUCUUUGGUCUGAGCAGUUGUCUUUUGUGAUACAUUUUCAAAGAGUCAGGUUGUUUGGGAAUGCAGCCUAAAUUGGGUGGUAAAUCUCACCUAAAGCUAAAUAUUUGCGAGAGACCGAUAGCGAACAAGUACCGUGAGGGAAAGAUGAAAAGAACUUUGAAAAGAGAGUUAAACAGUAUGUGAAAUUGUUAAAAGGGAACCGUUUGGAGCCAGACUGGCUUGACUGUAAUCAAUCUAGAUCCUUCUGGAUGCACUUGCAGUUUAUGCCUGCCAAUGACAAUUUGUUUUGAGGGAAAAAACUGGGAAGAAUGUGGCCCCUUUUGGGGUGUUAUAGCUUCUUAGAAAAUACCUUGGAGCGGAUUGAGGAUCGCAGUGAAUGUCUUUUAGGCAAGAUUGCUGGGUGCUUUUGCUGAUAAAUGCUAGAAUUUCUGCUUUUAGGUGGUGCUAGUGUUUAAAGGCAAAACUCGCUUAGUAUAUUUUUUAUUCGCUUA
rnacentral:rRNA from 1 species